rnacentral:snoRNA from 1 species
GCUGCUGCUGCUGCUGUUGCUGCUGCUGCUGGUGCAGCAGCAGCAGCAGCAGCAGAUGAAGAAGGAGAUAGGCUUCGGCUGCUGCAGCUGUGUGACCAUUUGCUGCUGAAGAGACACACAGA